rfam:Tepidiphilus thermophilus strain JCM 19170 genome assembly, contig: Ga0061068_105
GACAGUUUGGUCCCUAUCUGCCGUGGGCGCUGGAAGUUUGAGGGGAUCUGCUCCUAGUACGAGAGGACCGGAGUGGACGCACCUCUGGUGUACCGGUUGUCACGCCAGUGGCACCGCCGGGUAGCUAUGUGCGGAAGGAAUAACCGCUGAAAGCAUCUAAGCGGGAAAUCCCCCCCAAGAUGAGACUUCCCCGGGGGCUCGACCCCCCUGAAGGGCCGUGGAAGACCACCACGUCGAUAGGGCGCAGGUGUAAGGCGGGUAACCGCUUGAGCUGAGCGCUACUAAUUGCCCGUGCGGCUUGAUCCU